GCUAGCCCAAAAGUGCUCAACUGUAACUCAGUUUUAUGCUAGGGUUGCUAGAUUGGGCAGUUUCCCACCCAAAUCGGCCAGUUUGAAAGACUGUUUGUCAUGUAUGCUUGAUGAUCUUAAAGUUAGAAUGAAAACUUGCUGUUAUUAAAAAUUGUGACUUUAACAUUUUUAAGUUUGAGAGUUACUAUUGUUGGCAGAAAUUAAAACACAAUUUUUGAUCACUUCUAGUGAAUAAGGAUAGUAUGCAAGUACAAGCUAGGCAUUAUAAAACUCUGCAGGAAAUGUACAAAAAGUAGAAGCCCAAGCUGAUCUUAACAGUUUUUUGAUCUGGAGUUUCAGGCCAAACGAGCUUACAUUGAUUGUGGAGCCAUAAGAGGAGAUACCAGAGCUUCAUCCAUCGUGGAUGUUUAUCCAGAGAACUGCAUCAUGUGCCUAGAGAAAUGCAUAGAGUCCUUGCUCCCCACUAUGAAUUCAUUGAGGAAGUCAGAAUGUGAUGGGAGGAUUGCUGCGCCAGGGUCAUUUUACAGAGUAUGAAAGAAGGCAAUAAAGCCACCAAUCAAAAGGGAUAAAAUGGAAGCCAACUUUGCUCUGGUGAAGGCCCUUCCCAUUCUCUUUCCCCCAGUGGCACCUCCAUCAAAGAAACUGGGGUGUGCUAGUGAAGCUUUACUGCAUGUU